GAUGAACGCUGGCGGCGUGCCUAAUACAUGCAAGUCGAGCGAACGGACGAGAAUUUCGCCUCUCUGAUGUGAGGGGCGGGCGGGUGAGUAAUACGUGGAUAACUGACCUAGAAGGCUGGCAUAACUUCGGGAAAGCGGAUCUAAUACCGGUCAUUAUUGUGAACCGCAUGGUUCAUAAGUGAACGAGCGUUCUGAUGUCACUUAUUGAUGGUACCUGGCUGCAUUAGCUAGUUGGUAAGGUAACGGCUUACCAAGGCUACGAUGCGUAGCCGACCUGAGAGGAUGAUCAGCCACACUGGAACUGAGACACGGUCCAGACUCCUACGGGAGGCAGCAGUGGGGAAUCUUCGGCAAUGGGCGAAAGCCUGACGCAGCCACGCCGCGUGUGUGAUGAAGGUCUUCGGAUCGUAAAGCUCUUUUAUUAGGGAAGAACAUAUGUGUAAGUAAAUCUGCACGUCUUGACGGUACCUAAUCAGAAAGCCACGGCUAACUACGUG
rnacentral:rRNA from 1 species